rnacentral:rRNA from 1 species
ACUGAAUAGAUACCCAGGUAGUCCACGCCGUAAACGAUGGAUGCUAGCUGUUAUCAGUAUCGACCCUGGUAGUAGCGAAGCUAACGCGUUAAGCAUCCCGCCUGUGGAGUACGAGCGCAAGCUUAAAACAUAAAGGAAUUGACGGGGACCCGCACAAGCGGUGGAGCGUGUUGUUUAAUUCGAUGGUAAGCGAAGAACCUUACCCAGGCUUGACAUCCUGCCAAUUUCUCCGAAAGGAGAGAGUGCCUUCGGGCCGCAGUGACAGGUGAUGCAUGGCCGUCGUCAGCUCGUGUCGUGAGAUGUUUGGUUAAGUCCAUCAACGAGCGCAACCCUUAUAGUUAGUUGUAUUUUUCUAGCUAGACUGCCCUGGUAACAGGGAGGAAGGGGGGGAUGAUGUCAGGUCAGUAUUUCCCUUACGUCUGGGGCUAC